rnacentral:rRNA from 1 species
UACAUAGGGGGCGAGCGUUGUCCGGAUUUAUUGGGCGUAAAGAGCUCGUAGGCGGCUUAGCAAGUCGGGUGUGAAAACUCCAGGCUCAACCUGGAGACGCCACUCGAGACUGCUAUGGCUAGAGUCCGGUAGGGGACCACGGAAUUCCUGGUGUAGCGGUGAAAUGCGCAGAUAUCAGGAGGAACACCGGUGGCGAAGGCGGUGGUCUGGGCCGGCACUGACGCUGAGGCGCGAAAGCUAGGGGAGCGAACAGG